rnacentral:rRNA from 1 species
CACCGCCCGUCACACCAUGGGAAUUGGAUCUACCCGAAGGUGGUGCGCCCAACCCUGGCAACAGGAGGCAGCCAACCACGGUAGGUUCAGUGACUGGGGUG